UACGUAGGGUGCGAGCGUUGUCCGGAUUUAUUGGGCGUAAAGAGCGUGUAGGCGGCUAGGUAGGUCCGUUGUGAAAACUCGAGGCUCAACCUCGAGACGCCGGUGGAAACCAUCUAGCUAGAGUCCGGAAGAGGAGAGUGGAAUUCCUGGUGUAGCGGUGAAAUGCGCAGAUAUCAGGAAGAACACCCGUGGCGAAGGCGGCUCUCUGGGACGAUACUGACACUGAGGAGCGAAAGCGUGGGGAGCGAACAGG
rnacentral:rRNA from 1 species